GGCAACAUGCCAGAAUGAUUAAUGGGUACGCCUCGAAAGCGUAUAGCUUCGCCCGCAGCAGUUCGAAUCCGCUCAUUGUCA
rfam:Madurella mycetomatis strain mm55 MMYC01_Sc2316, whole genome shotgun sequence.